rnacentral:rRNA from 1 species
AUUGAACGCUGGCGGCAGGCCUAACACAUGCAAGUCGAACGAGUGGCGGACGGGUGAGUAAUGUCUGGGAAACUGCCUGAUGGAGGGGGAUAACUACUGGAAACGGUACCAAAAACCCCAUACCACCGGUGUGCCCAGGAUGGGAUUAGCUUGUUGGUGGGGUAACGGCUCACCAAGGCGACGAUCCCUAGCUGGUCUGAGAGGAUGACCAGCCACACUGGAACUGAGACACGGUCCAGACUCCUACGGGAGGCAGCAGUGGGGAAUAUUGCACAAUGGGCGCAAGCCUGAUGCAGCCAUGCCGCGUGUAUGAAGAAGGCCUUCGGGUUGUAAAGUACUUUCAGCGGGGAGGCGUUACCCGCAGAAGAAGCACCGGCUAACUCCGUGCCAGCAGCCGCGGUAAUUC